rnacentral:rRNA from 1 species
GGCCUACGGGGGGCAGCAGUGAGGAAUAUUGGUCAAUGGGCGGGAGCCUGAACCAGCCAAGUCGCGUGAGGGAAGACGGUCCUAUGGAUUGUAAACCUCUUUAGGCGGGGAGCACUGCCGGGCACGCGUGCCCGGAGGGAGAGUACCCGCAGAAUAAGCAUCGGCUAACUCCGUGCCAGCAGCCGCGGUAAUACGGAGGAUGCGAGCGUUAUCCGGAUUUAUCGGGUUUAAAGGGUGCGUAGGCGGAUUUUUAAGUUAGUGGUUAAACGUCGGGGCUUCACCUUGAUUUGCCAUUAAUACUGUAA